AUUGAACGCUGGCGGCAGGCCUAACACAUGCAAGUCGAGCGGAUGAAGGGAGCUUGCUCCUGGAUUCAGCGGCGGACGGGUGAGUAAUGCCUAGGAAUCUGCCUGGUAGUGGGGGAUAACGUCCGGAAACGGGCGCUAAUACCGCAUACGUCCUGAGGGAGAAAGUGGGGGAUCUUCGGACCUCACGCUAUCAGAUGAGCCUAGGUCGGAUUAGCUAGUUGGUGGGGUAAAGGCCUACCAAGGCGACGAUCCGUAACUGGUCUGAGAGGAUGAUCAGUCACACUGGAACUGAAAAGCGGUCCAUACUCCUACGGGAGGCAGCAGUGGGGAAUAUUGGACAAUGGGCGAAAGCCUGAUACAGCCAUGCCGCGUGUGUGAAGAAGGUCUUCGGAUUGUAAAGCACUUUAAGUUGGGAGGAAGGGCAGUAAGUUAAUACCUUGCUGUUUUGACGUUACCAACAGAAUAAGCACCGGCUAACUUCGUG
rnacentral:rRNA from 1 species